UGUUGUUGGACGAUAAGGCAAUCCCAAUCGCCCCAUCUCGAAAAUAUCGAGUGACAAUCUCGUGUCGAACGAAUCGUGCCCUGAUCGUACCAACCAACUUACUAACUAAAGCUCCAACUCUCUACCAUAAAGGAGAUUAAAAAAGGACCUUCAAAAAAGGUACGCAACAACUCUGCCUCUCAUUCUUCUCUUUUUGUUGAACGAGAUUUUGACUUA
rnacentral:lncRNA from 1 species